rnacentral:tRNA from 1 species
GGAGCGUUGACUGAGUGGCUGAAAGUAUCUGCCUACUAAGCAGACGGUCGUUUAACGGCUCGCAGGUCCGAAUCCUGCACGCUCCG